AAUCUGCAUCUGAGGUAGCCCAGCACUUGUGCUCCAUUAUAUAUAGACAUGGCUGCCCCAAAAGGAUUUUGUCAGACCAAGGCAGAGAGUUUGUGAAUGAACUCAACUCUGAUCUUUGCAAGUUAUUGCAAAUUGAAAGAAGUGUCACAGCAGCAUACCAUCCACAGACGAAUGGUCUAGAUGAAAAGACCAAUGACAACAUAAAAAGAGCCCUCCGAAAACUGGUGAAUGAC